UCCCCUGUGGCCCAGAUGGUAGAGAAUCUGCCUGCAAUGCAGGAGACCUGGGUUUAGUCCCUGGGUAGGGGAA
rnacentral:tRNA from 1 species